ACAAACUUCCCCAGCAAAAGACAACCCUCAUUAAAAAAAAAAACCAAACUUUUUUAUAGAUAUAAGCAGGCACAAACACCUUUGCUGUACAAUUUUUAUUAGUUUUAUCCCAUCUUUAAUUUGAUUCUGUGGCUAAGUAUCUCAUUUCCAUGUAAACUUCCAUUAGGAACACAAAUUGCUGACCCCACAUCUACUGACAGAAAUGCCACAACAUAAAUUACGCCCAGAAAAUGCCGCUUUGGGUGGGGGGCAUGGAAGAGGGAACUAAGCUAGAUAAAAAGCCACUGUGCUCCUGCCCAGCUUGCACCCUGUCCCGCUGACCACUGAUAAAAUUUAUCACAGGGCCACAUACGGGCAGGCAGCGUAAAGAAGAGCUGUCUGUGGUAAAACGUGUAACAGCAAACAGCUAAUGGAACAUUAUUACUUUAUUGGAAAGCAAUAUCUCUGGAUGCUUCACUUCUCUGGCUUUAGCAAGGGUAUGAAUUGUUCUUCUGUAUGCAGAGGAGCUGAAAUAAAGAGGUUGACAGAACCCCGAAUGGUGGCAGUGAGCAUCUCCUAGCCACUUCACUGCUCUCUGCUCAGGACGCUUAGGUAGCUGAGGGGGUGAAUGAGUUCCAACAAAGUUAUAUCCCAUCUGAACCCACCUUCUUAAAAGAAUGCUGAGCUAUAAUGAUACUGGUCCCCUUGUAAAAAUGCAGUUUUAUAAAUUCUGGCUAACUGUUGUUAGAAUUCAGUCCCGGCAUGAGCAGAAAGUAGAAAUGGCCAAAUUCCACCAAUAAAAGGAAUUUCAUUUACCAAGAAAUUAAAAAACCCAGUCUUUGAAAUGGGGCUUAUUUUGUAGAGCUUCAAGGAAAGCGGUUGGGUCAACUGGCACAAGCACUGGACAGCCACAGUUGGAUGGAGGGAGUGGUUAAAAAUAAAAAUGAUCUGGUGGCCUGGUGUCUUCAAUUGCCCAUGAAGAUAGCAUUUGAAAGAAAGGAAGGCGCUGGGUUUAUCACCUGCAGCUGGGAGAGCGGCAGCAUCAAGAUGGCGACUAGGUGGUUCGGCAGUCCGCCUUCUCUCGCGGUAAAGAGCUAGCUCUUCAUGAAUAAGACAUCAUGUAGACGAUCUUCGAACACCGGGGUUCAGCCGAAGCAGUCCCUACACCACACACAGUGAAAUAGACCACAUUAGAAGUUCUAGAUCUUGAGGCAAGAAGUUCCAAGUCAGAUACUGGACAAUUUGGUUUCUGGUAAGAAGCCAAUUCUCUUAUCUUCCUGACUUGGUAAGGAAGUCAGGAACUCUUCUUCCCAAUCGAUUCAAUUAUGUAGCAGACAUGAGUUUCCAAUGGAAGUGAUAUGAUUUCCAGCUCCAUAGCUGGGACCAGACCUUUGCCUGAGAUACUCUGACUGAUUUUGAUCAAACAACUCAGCUUAAAAUACCACCUCUUUGAAAGACUUCUCAUAGUUGAGACUGAAGCUGAGAGAAAAGACAAGAGGAGCUUUAAGGUCUGCUUGUCUGUAUUUGCUUGGUCUAAAAAAGAAGCUCUGGACUUUUGUUAUGUGAGGUUUUCAUGUGAUUGGAGAGGAAAGAGUUUAACCUGCUGCUUUGUUUGAACAGUGAUGGCAAAAACUAAAAAUAACGCAAGAUUCCAAAUGUGUGUAUGGAAAUUAAAACACAAUUUUGGGCAAUUGCUGUAAAAACUUCCACUCUCUUUAUACACCUUAGACUUAGCCGGAGCCAGAUCUGCCCACAAAGGAGACGUUUAACUGAUAGGUUCUUUUUAUGAAAGGCCUUUUCCAGGGGCCACAUCUUGGGGGGUUUGGGGAAGGGAAGUGUGUGGUUCUGUCUAAAUUUCAUCCAGGACUUCUCUCCCCAUCUGACCCUGGAAAUUGCUGCAAUUUUAGCUUCCUGUGGUAGGCAGUAAAAAAAAAAAAAAAAAAAAAAAAAAAAA